rnacentral:rRNA from 1 species
ACAUGCCUACGGGGCGCAGCAGUAGGGAAUCUUCCACAAUGGACGAAAGUCUGAUGGGGCAACGCCGCGUGAGUGAAGAAGGGUUUCGGCUCGUAAAGCUCUGUUGGUAGUGAAGAAAGAUAGAGGUAGUAACUGGCCUUUAUUUGACGGGAAUUACUUAGAAAGUCACGGCUAACUACGUGCCAGCAGCCGCGGUAAUACGUAGGUGGCAAGCGUUGUCCGGAUUUAUUGGGCGUAAAGCG